UCAAAUCAGGUAGGACUACCCGCUGAACUUAAGCAUAUCAAUAAGCGGAGGAAAAGAAACCAACAGGGAUUGCCUCAGUAACGGCGAGUGAAGCGGCAAAAGCUCAAAUUUGAAAUCUAGCACUUUCAGUGUUCGAGUUGUAAUUUGAAGAAGGUAACUUUGGUUUUGGCUCUUGUCUAUGUUCCUUGGAACAGGACGUCACAGAGGGUGAGAAUCCCGUGCGAUGAGAUGCCCAAUUCCAUGUAAAGUGCUUUCGAAGAGUCGAGUUGUUUGGGAAUGCAGCUCUAAGUGGGUGGUAAAUUCCAUCUAAAGCUAAAUAUUGGCGAGAGACCGAUAGCGAACAAGUACAGUGAUGGAAAGAUGAAAAGAACUUUGAAAAGAGAGUGAAAAAGUACGUGAAAUUGUUGAAAGGGAAGGGCUUGAGAUCAGACUUGGUAUUUUGCGUUCCCUUCCUUUUUGGUUGGGUUCCUCGCAGUUUACUGGGCCAGCAUCGGUUUGGAUGGUAGGAUAAUGACAUUGGAAUGUAGCUUUACUUCGGUGAAGUGUUAUAGACUUUGUUGAUACUGCCUAUCUAGACCGAGGACUGCGUCUUUGACUAGGAUGCUGGCGUAA
rnacentral:rRNA from 1 species